rnacentral:rRNA from 1 species
UACGUAGGGUGCGAGCGUUGUCCGGAAUUAUUGGGCGUAAAGAGCUCGUAGGCGGUUUGUCGCGUCGAAUGUGAAAGCCCGGGGCUUAACCCCGGGUCUGCAUUCGAUACGGGCAGGCUAGAGUGUGGUAGGGGAGAUCGGAAUUCCUGGUGUAGCGGUGAAAUGCGCAGAUAUCAGGAGGAACACCGGUGGCGAAGGCGGAUCUCUGGGCCAUUACUGACGCUGAGGAGCGAAAGCGUGGGGAGCGAACAGG